rnacentral:rRNA from 1 species
CUGCUCGUGUUUCAACAACUAUAUCAGCUAAACCCUCGUGGCCUGGAUAGAAUGAAUGGGGCUCACGUUGUCUUAAUUCCUAAAGUGGAUGGAGCAAAUGCACUGUCAGAUUAUCGACCGAUCAGUCUGCUGCACAGCGUUGCCAAGCUAUUUCUCAAGGUUCUGGCGAUGCGUCUCGCUAAGCGUCUCCCGGAACUUGUCUCGCCAGGACAGAGCGCG